rnacentral:rRNA from 1 species
AUUGAACGCUGGCGGCAGGCCUAACACAUGCAAGUCGAGCGGAUGAAGGGAGCUUGCUCCUGGAUUCAGCGGCGGACGGGUGAGUAAUGCCUAGGAAUCUGCCUGGUAGUGGGGGAUAACGUCCGGAAACGGGCGCUAAUACCGCAUACGUCCUGAGGGAGAAAGUGGGGGAUCUUCGGACCUCACGCUAUCAGAUGAGCCUAGGUCGGAUUAGCUAGUUGGUGGGGUAAAGGCCUACCAAGGCGACGAUCCGUAACUGGUCUGAGAGGAUGAUCAGUCACGCUGGAACUGAGACACGGUCCAGACUCCUACGGGAGGCAGCAGUGGGGAAUACUGGACAAUGGGCGAAAGCCUGAUCCAGCCAUGCCGCGUGUGUGAAGAAGGUCUUCGGAUUGUAAAGCACUUUAAGUUGGGAGGAAGGGCAGUAAGUUAAUACCUUGCUGUUUUGACGUUACCAACAGAAUAAGCACCGGCUAACUUCGUG